AGAAAUGUAGCUGUGACAUUUGUCAUUCUAGUAAUCACCAGGGUUGUCCUGUGUCCCUUUACCUAAGCUUCUCCCUCCCAAAGCUUUGCACUUGGUCAAAAAGGAUGACCUUCCCUGGUAGAGAAAGAUUGUUCUUCUGCCAAGGAUAUGAGUAAUGGAACUUCCCUAUUAGAACCUCUCUAAACAAACUCUCAAACUGGAGUAGUAGUUUGGAAUAGCUUCAAGAUAAGAUUUUGUCAUUAGUUACAUGCUAUGAUAGUUGU
rnacentral:snRNA from 1 species